rnacentral:misc_RNA from 1 species
GUAGGUGAACCUGCGGAAGGAUCAUUAACGAGGAUUGAUUGUGGGUUGGGGGGGGGAGGAGAGUUGGGGGAUGAUUGAUUGAUUAUCUCGAUUGAUUGAUUGUCUUUGAUCGAUUAUCCACUCUCCCACCCCACACUAUUAUUCACCCCGAGUAGUCGUUGCUGACUGCGGGUCGUUUUGAGCGAUCAAAACAACAAAUUAUAUAGACGCAUGGAUGUUUGACAGUCGUAUGGAGUAAAAUGAUAAACAACUUUUAACAAUGGAUCUCUUGGCUCUU